rnacentral:rRNA from 1 species
AGUGAACGCUGGCGGUAGGCCUAACACAUGCAAGUCGAACGGCAGCACAGUAAGAGCUUGCUCUUACGGGUGGCGAGUGGCGGACGGGUGAGGAAUACAUCGGAAUCUACUUUUUCGUGGGGGAUAACGUAGGGAAACUUACGCUAAUACCGCAUACGACCUACGGGUGAAAGCAGGGGAUCUUCGGACCUUGCGCGAUUGAAUGAGCCGAUGUCGGAUUAGCUAGUUGGCGGGGUAAAGGCCCACCAAGGCGACGAUCCGCAGCUGGUCUGAGAGGAUGAUCGGCCACACUGGAACUGAGACACGGUCCAGACUCCUACGGGAGGCAGCAGUGGGGAAUAUUGGACAAUGGGCGAAAGCCUGAUCCAGCCAUACCGCGUGGGUGAAGAAGGCCUUCGGGUUGUAAAGCCCUUUUGUUGGGAAAGAAAAGCAGCAGGUUAAUACCACGCUGUUCUGACGGUACCCAAAGAAUAAGCACCGGCUAACUUCGUG